AAAUCUAAGCAAUUUUUAAACAAAAAAUUCUUGAAUGUAGUAAAUUUCUUCUUAGUAAAUGCUUCUUAGUAUUCCUACACUACAAGGUGUCAUGCAUUGUAUCUGUUACACCAUUGUAGGCAUUUCGCAGUCAAUGAGUCCGAGGGUGAAAAGUGUGAAGUAGUGUCCGGACAGGAUGUCCAGCCGAAUGGCGCGCGCUUUUGUGCGUCUUCGCUGUAAACGAAGGUAUAAUCGACGCGGAGGCGCGCACAAAGCCAGGCCCCCCGAAGAAUAAAAAUGUGUGAAUGGCGCGCGAGAAGCUGAAUGAAUCCCGAGAGCCCGACACACGGCUGUAGCGAACGCUGCGAAGAAUGAAAAGGUGGCGCCGGCAAGUCCACGAGCACCAACUGAGCACACACGCAAGACACAACGGUUUUACUUAGACUAUUACCAACGAAUGCGCGCCAUUGUGUUCGAUUUUUCCAGCGCAUUCCUAAACACUGUGUAACUGUGUAACUACUAUGCAGAACAACAUGACAACAACAGAAAAAAAAAGAAGGAGAACAUUGGUGUGGUGCAUAAUCUUACUUUUUGUUCAUAUGAAAAACGUGCGUUAAUUAAACGGGUCUUCACUCAGAGCGACACUUAAGACGCUUCGAAUUCUUAAAGCGUUAAACUGUCGAGGUGCGAGAUGGUAAUAAUGGUAUCUCGGGGCAUCAUCGCAUCUCAUCUUGCAUCGCAGCGGUGUGAGCGGUGAGAAAUGCGUGGCAUAUCGACCGGGGGCAAUCAACACAUUCCACGAGGACGAGACACGCUCGCCAUUGAAGAAAACUCGAUGGAACUCUCUUGCAUUGUGCGCGCGUCGUACCCACGUUGAGGCUUCGCUUCUUUGGUGCCUAUCGCACCAUCGGGCGCGCAUCUUUGAUUAACGAUUUUGUAUGCUUUCAGAGCAACGCGCCGGUGUACCCUUUACCGCCCGCGUGUGUCCGAAAAGGGCAUCGUGAAGACAUUCCAAGACGUUUAACGAAUUUUUCUGUUUCAACUGAUAUGUCCGAGUGAUAAACGACAAGCCAAGAAAUAAAAAGUCAGCAACCAGCUUUACCAACCGCAGUUUUCAGCUUUUCCAACAUCGCAUUCGGAUCGAGAAAAAAUUGUUUGUUUGUUAGAAUGGGUACUCCACACGACUCGAUGACUUUUAUCGCGGCUUGUUUUUGUUUGCCAUGGCAAACAUUAACGUUUUCUCGUAAAAGUUGUAAACCAACGAAGUAGGAAAGUCAGGUGGGUUGUUGUUCGAGAGCCAGUUUCUAAGCGGAUGGGAAUUUCCCAGGCUUUACCCGGUAGCGCUGUAAUUGUCGAAUUCAAACCAAACGCAUCCCCUAAAUGCCUAAAUAUUUAAGCGCUGUAAUCCGUGCUUUAAUACCGUGAACAACGCAUACCGCGCAACUUGUAAUAAUAAUCAUAAAACCCGCUGCUAGAUUACAAGAUGCAAAUAAUUAGAUUUAUUUAAUAUUUAUGUUG